rnacentral:lncRNA from 10 species
CAAGGGAGGUCCCACCUAAUAGACAAUGGUAAUGGAAGGAGAAUGAAACUCUUCAUGGAUAUUACAAUAUGGCUUUUUCUUCUCUGUUGUGCUCGCAUGAGAUAUUUGAAAUUACAAUUAUUAUAAAAAUACUGCCUAGUGUUAUUUGCCUACUUAUUUUAAAUUAAGAAAGUCUGUCUCAAAAGGACUCAAUGUGGCUGACCAGAAGAAGAACAUCAUAAGGCAAUUAAGUGGAUAUAAGAGAAAUGGAGGCCAGAACCAAAGAAAGAGACCAAAUAAAAUAUGAUGCACUCUGCACUCCCUCUUCCCUGCCCUGGGACAGCAUCGAUCAACUCUCUGGCACUCCAGCUCUCAACUGGUUUGGCCAAUAUAGGGUGGCCAAAGAAGCAAAGAAGCAAUUAAAAUGUUUAUUCCUCAAUUCUCUCUCUACUGUCUCUGAUUUGAUAACACUUACACGCCUUGACAAAAGACCGUAACUCCUAUCAAGUGGCUAAACCUUAAAGCGAUAGUUUUGACAGACUUCCCGUCACUACGGCCUCCUGUUCAGACCCAGGAGCUGUGAUAGCUUCACACUGGUUCAAUCCUAGGGGUUUUCAAUAUCCCUUGUCAUUGUGUCUCUCUGCCUUUGGCAACAAAUUGCUACAAUAAUGCUAUCACUGGAGAACAAUACAACACUCAGGAAAAGGACAAUGAAAACAUGGAUUCCAUUUGUUUUUCUCAGUAUCAAAAUGUUCAACCAAGGAGAAUAAAGCUAAAAAGAGAAAAAUCACACCCUUGUGAUUGGGAAAGAUACUUUGAAGGAGCAAAGGUAAAGAUAAAUAGUCCAUCAAGUGACACCUGCUGAGAGAAUCCAGUUUGUCUAAUUGGCUCUGGUGCAGUGCAGUGGAACAUGUGUCAACUCUCUUUGGAGUUUAUAUUGGAAAUAAAUUAUAGGUGGGACCAGGCACAGUGGCUCA